AGUAUCUGUCCAGUUGUAAAGGACAGGAAGGAAGCGGUGGCAGGAGGGCAGUUGUUGGAGUGGAAAGAGCUCUGGACUAAGAAUGAAGGUCCCAGGCUGUAUCUUCAGCAGUGUUCUUAGGAACUGUCAGGGAGUAAUUGAUUUCUUCUUCCUGAUUUUCUCUGCCUCGAUCUGCAAAGACAGGUAAAUUUCUCUCUCUCCAUCUGCAAAGGCAAACAUCUUGCAGUGUCUGAAGCAUUCAAAUGUGUGAGCACUUAUGACCACUUAUCACAAUGAGAUAAAGCCCCUCGCUGUGUGGUGUUGGAGAAAGCACUUGAUGUGUGGGCAUUUGGUGGUAGGAAGUGGUUCAGAUUGGAGCAUUCCCCAUGGAGAGAAUGUCCCUGAAUAACAUAGCAGAAGCCACUUGGAGGGCCUGUGAAGUCACCUGAUGUGCAGAGGAUUGUGGGACAAGUUUGUUUAUCUUCUCCUAAGAGAAAGAAAUAGGUUGUAAAUAUGAGCUGUGACGGGACGCCAAGCCUGUCCCUGGGAAUCAGAUCUGUGUCGGGAUGGGGGGGACAGCUGCCAAAGUCCAGAGAGAGACUGCACAAGCCUCCAGUGAUGUGGGAGCAGAAGGUCUUUUCAACAUUCGGCCUCAUCUUGACGGUGAGCCUCCUGAUCUGAAAUGCAUUGCCUGGUGGAUCAGGAAACCAUGCCAGGGCAUUUUGUUAGAGAGAAAACAUGAGAGCUUUCAGUAGAACAGGGACCCAUACACAGAUGUUCAUGUCCCUGCGCACAUUGGGCCGACUGUCCCUGCAGAGUGAGAAAUGGGAAAUAACUGAACGAACACAUCUGUACUUGCAGAAAACGACAAAGACGAGGAUGAAGAUGUUCGUGUCAUGGAGGCUGAGAACAUCCAGGAAUCACGUGCCCCCAGGAAUCUGCAGGAGUCUGUGGAGAAGGAAGCCACCCAGGAGUCCUGGGAUGAAGAUGAUUCGACUCUCUCAAUUCCUCCUGGCACAUUUACCUUCAAUGAGCUUUACAGGACCAACUUGCACUCAUUAGAGGAACAGCAGGUCAACUUGGCUCAUGACACAGACAGUGAGUACUCUGUUGUGAAAGUGGUAAAGCUCCACUUUGUGUCCCAGAUAGACCCCAUAGUCUUUGUGCAUUGCUCCCCUGGCCGCGCUGAGAGUUGUCAUCACUGUGGGCUGAGCCUAUCCAUCAGUGCAGAUUUCAAUCACUCCGGAUUCCAGUCUGAAGCAUGGGCAUGGGGUGGUUCAGUGAGCUUUGCUCUCUCUCUAGUCUCAGUCCAUGCCCGUGGCACCCUGGACCAACUGUCAGGACGUUGAAACCCAAGGCGGCUGUUGCAAACUCACACCAAGCUAUGCAGCACAUGCCCACGAGUUGUCUGUCAAUCUGAAUUAAAUGUCUCUUGCCAGCUACCAAGUUCCUCAUGAGUUUUGUUCCCCAGGCAUGUCUGUGAGGUUCUUUCCUGUUUGUACAAACUUGGCAUAACUUUUUGUACAAACUUGGGAUAAAGGGAUAAUAGUCUACCAGAAUAGGGACGUUUCACCAUUGGUUCUGAGACACAAACCAAGGAAUCUCUAUCAUGAUUGGCCUUGAGACCUCCUGAAGUCUCUCUCUCACGUUAUCCUGUUCUCAAGCUGAGGAGUCUGAGGUCCCUGUGCAGGGAUUAGACAGUGGACUGUUAUGGGUGUAGGGCAAUGGCUAACUUUGUCCCUAUCUGAAUUUAUUGCAGAGAUUAAAAAGGACCAAGAAGAGGAAGAAGACCAAGGCCCACUGUGCCCCAGGUAACUUUGAGCAACUGUGAACA
rnacentral:lncRNA from 13 species